rnacentral:sRNA from 1 species
GCCAGGCAUGGUGGUGCAUGCUUGUAAUUCCAGUGACUUGGGAGGCUAAGGCAGGGAGAUUGCAAAUUUGAGGCCAGUCUGGGCAAAUUUGCAAGACCCUGUCUUAA